CAGCAGCCGCGGUAAUACGGAGGGUGCAAGCGUUAAUCGGAAUUACUGGGCGUAAAGCGCACGCAGGCGGUCUGACAAGUCAGAUGUGAAAUCCCCGGGCUUAACCUGGGAACUGCAUUUGAAACUGUCAGGCUGGAGUCUUGUAGAGGGGGGUGGAAUUCCAGGUGUAGCGGUGAAAUGCGUAGAGAUCUGGAGGAAUACCGGUGGCGAAGGCGGCCCCCUGGACAAAGACUGACGCUCAGGUGCGAAAGCGUGGGGAGCAAACAGGAUUAGAACCCCGGUAGUCCCUGUCUCUUAUACA
rnacentral:rRNA from 1 species